AUUGAACGCUGGCGGCAUGCCUUACACAUGCAAGUCGAACGGUAACGGGCCUUCGGGUGCCGACGAGUGGCGAACGGGUGAGUAAUGCAUCGGAACGUACCUUUCAGUGGGGGAUAACGUAGCGAAAGUUGCGCUAAUACCGCAUAUUCUGUGAGCAGGAAAGCAGGGGACCGCAAGGCCUUGCGCUCUUUGAGCGGCCGAUGUCAGAUUAGCUAGUUGGUGAGGUAACGGCUUACCAAGGCGACGAUCUGUAGCGGGUCUGAGAGGAUGAUCCGCCACACUGGAACUGAGACACGGUCCAGACUCCUACGGGAGGCAGUAGUGGGGAAUUUUGGACAAUGGGCGCAAGCCUGAUCCAGCCAUGCCGCGUGAGUGAAGAAGGCC
rnacentral:rRNA from 1 species